rnacentral:rRNA from 1 species
GACGAACCGUGCGAACGUUAUUCGGAAUCACUGGGCUUAAAGCGCGUGUAGGCGGGCCGGCACGUCGGUCGCUGAAAUCCCCCGGCUCAACCGGGGAAGGGGCGCCGAUACGACCGGCCUGGAGGGGCGUAGGGGGACCGGGAACUUCCGGUGGAGCGGUGAAAUGCGUUGAGAUCGGAAGGAACGCCCGUGGCGAAAGCGCGGUCCUGGACGACUGCUGACGCUGAGACGCGAAAGCCAGGGGAGCGAACGGG